rnacentral:rRNA from 1 species
GACGAACGCUGGCGGCGUGCUUAACACAUGCAAGUCGAACGGAAAGGCCCUGCUUUUGUGGGGUGCUCGAGUGGCGAACGGGGGAGUAACACGUGAGUAACCUGCCCUUGACUUUGGGAUAACUUCAGGAAACUGGGGCUAAUACCGGAUAGGAGCUCCUGCUGCAUGGUGGGGGUUGGAAAGUUUCGGCGGUUGGGGAUGGACUCGCGGCUUAUCAGCUUGUUGGUGGGGUAGUGGCUUACCAAGGCUUUGACGGGUAGCCGGCCUGAGAGGGUGACCGGCCACAUGGGGACUGAGAUACGGCCCAGACGCCUACGGGAGGCAGCAGUGGGGAAUAUUGCACAAUGGGCGGAAGCCUGAUGCAGCAACGCCGCGUGCGGGAUGACGGCCUUCGGGUUGUAAACCGCUUUCGCCUGUGACGAAGCGUGAGUGACGGUAAUGGGUAAAGAAGCACCGGCUAACUACGUG